UACGAGGGGGGGCGAGCGUUGUUCGGAAUUAUUGGGCGUAAAGGGUGCGUAGGCGGUUCCGCAAGUCCUGUGUGAAAUCUUCGGGCUCAACUCGAAGUCUGCACGGGAAACUGCGGGGCUUGAGUGUGGGAGAGGUGAGUGGAAUUCCCCGGUGUAGCGGUGAAAUGCGUAGAUAUCGGGAGGAACACCUGUGGCGAAAGCGGCUCACUGGACCAUAACUGACGCUGAUGCACGAAAGCUGGGGGAGCAAACAGG
rnacentral:rRNA from 1 species